UACAGAGGUCCCGAGCGUUGUUCGGAUUCAUUGGGCGUAAAGAGCUCGUAGGCGGUCUGUCGCGUCGAUCGUGAAAACUUGGGGCUUAACCCUGAGCUUGCGGUCGAUACGGGCAUGACUGGAGUUCGGCAGGGGAGACUGGAAUUCCUGGUGUAGCGGUGAAAUGCGCAGAUAUCAGGAGGAACACCGGUGGCGAAGGCGGGUCUCUGGGCCGAUACUGACGCUGAGGAGCGAAAGCAUGGGUAGCGAACAGG
rnacentral:rRNA from 1 species